UGUUCCAUAACAUUGCCACUGUUAUCAUCCUUGGAAAACUAACAACUUUUGAUAUCUUUCCUGCAGUGGUUGCUCUCACUAAUCUUUUGGAGAAGAAGCUCUACUACCAGGUAUACGUUCGGCUUGUCAACCACGUUCCUUAUCCUCCUGCUGCUCCUCGACAGAUCCACCAUGUUGAGUCCAUGGCGGCGUCCGCAUCGGCCACAGCAAUGACCACGGCUGCCUCCGCUGUCCCAUGGCCAAACACAUGUAAAUGCAGAACCUCAGACGAUUGGUUACCACUCUGUUUUGCGCGUGUAUUGCAUUUUUUGAUGAUCUGUUUCUUUUCGUCUUGGCUCAGUACAGCACAGUAUUGGCGAUGUAA